ensembl:lncRNA
CGCGCCUACGUCACUCGCCUAGAUGAGUCCAAGUCCAUGCAAGUGAACGGAGCGUUCCCUCUUCGUCAUAACUAUCAAACCAAACAUCCUUCACAUUCACCGAGCGAACAUUACGAAAGUAAAAUGCACAUUUCUCGCUAAAAAUGUUUCCAUAAACGCAUUUAAUGGCGUAACUAUGUUACUAUUUCCACCCAGAAUAAAGAAAGUUGUCGGCCGUGGCUGCGCUGGAGUCCGAGGUAGGAAACCCCAACGCCGCCGUGUUUGGGUGAUAGAGUUUAGAUCGGGUUAGAUUAAAUAAUCUCGGAUAUAAAUAACAAUAAUCGGGUUAAAUAACUUCACAUGGUGUGUCUGGUCAGAGAAAUAGUCCGCCAAGACGUUGAGGUUGCUUAGUAACCAGAGACUCUGUCCAUUCAAGUGAACGGAGCGUUCCUCUUCGUCAUAACUAUCAAACCAAACAUCCUUCACAUUCACCGAGUGAACAUUAUGAAAGUAAAAUGCAC